GGCCCGGCGGGAACUUUCUGCCCACAAAGAAGGAAGACCGGUUUCCAGCGAGCCUCCGUCCUUUUCUCGCCUUUGACCAUAAGGCCGGGCCACGCUGCAUUUUUCUUUCCCCCUGUUCUGUCUUCCCUGUUGGCUGACCUAACUUUUCCUUCCGUGUCCGGACUCAGCAUUCGGUGGUCUUUGCUUCCUUUUUCUCUGCUAUCUGGUCUCCAUGGUAGGAGCUCCCCCCUCCCACCUUUUUGACUCUGAAUCUCGGCAAACCAGUCGUCCUUCCAUCCCACAGGUACCACCUCGUGGAAGGUGGUUCCCCUCUUCCCUCAGCCGUCUGCACACCCCAGCCGGUCAACUUCCGGAAUCGGUUGAUUUCAGGAGCCCAGCUCCUUCAAUCCGCCUUUGCAGGUCUGUAGCUAAAACUCUUCAGGAGAAAGCUAUUCUCUGUGAAUUGCUGUUCGUGUGCCAUCAGCCGUUCGGUCACCAGGGCAAAGCAAUGGAAUAUUAUUCAGCUAUGAAAAGGAAUAAAGUACUAAGGCAUCCUGCAACGUAAAUGAACUUCAAAAUGGUCAGCGUAUCUUGGAUUUGGCGUGACUCCUUCCAUCCUUGUCUUUAUGCAUUUAUCAUAUAUACCUAGUGUCGAGGGGGGAAAGAAUCCGCCUGACAAUGCAGACCCAGCAGAGGAAAUAAUCACCAUCAACAACAAAUCGUCAGGGGUGCUGACAAUUCAUUCACCUUAAAGGAAUCACUGAACCUCCAGGCGGAAAAAGAUCUUAAGGUUCAUCCAGUCCAACCCCCUACGUGUUGCUUGGACUGCCUGCUAAGCCUGGAAAAGGAAACAUGCUGCUCACUCUCCUUGAAAGAAACGGUACCACCGCAGCCAGAGAACUGGCUCUGCUCAGAGCAGGUCAAGCCAAGGAGAGCCAAACCUGAACUUCAUCCCAAGUCGGACACGGCCCCUGCAUUCCAGUGAGGUACCCCGAGAGACUUAAACUAAAACCGAUUUUUGUCUCUGGCAUUAUUUAUUUAUUAUUCCUCCCUUGUAUCCUGUCUGUCUAGUUUUGCGUCUAGAGGUCCUGAGUCCAGGGCCACUCCUGAGCCUGGGCCUGGGCUGCAGCACACAGCAAGUGCUGGACAAGGACAGGAACCCUCAGUAUAACAUAGGGAUGAUAACAGUACUGAGAAAUGGAACGUGUCCUUUCACAUCAAUAAACAAAGGAUGUCUCAGUCAUCGGCAGCUGCAGCCCUCCGGUGUAAGCUGGCGAGCCCUGAAGAAACUCUGGAAAGAAAGAACACCUGCUGUCUAGUUUAG
ensembl:lncRNA